AACAUGGCAUCCAUCCAGAAGAGAGGAUUUCGUAGAGUUCUUAUCCAAGCACUCCGCAAUCUAGUAAGAAUAAAUCUUAUAAUAUUUAUAAAAUAAAAUAAAAAAUAAUUACUUUCUUCUUGGUUAUUUAUUCGGACUUGAGAGCAUCUAGUCCAGAGAUUGAUCCAUAGAUGAUGAAUCUAAUUUUAGCCUCUUCACUGCUACGAACAGCGAAUAAGCUUCCUUCCAAGUAUCAUGAAAAUCUUGACGUUUUUCUUUUUCUUAUUUUUCCUUUUCUUUUGUUCAUGUUAACUUGUUGGUUAAAGAACGAUCAGGUUUGAGUACAAAAUACCUGCAACCUGAGAGCAGGAACUGAAUUUACAGU